rnacentral:piRNA from 1 species
UGGGUNUACUGUGUAGGCAGCCAUGUGGCCUU